rnacentral:rRNA from 1 species
UAUGUGAUCGUCUCUCGCAUAUCAAUAAGCGGAGGAAAAGAAACUAACAAGGAUUCCCCUAGUAACGGCGAGUGAAGCGGGAAGAGCUCUAAAUUUGAAAUCUUAAAGGGUUUCCCUUUACGAAUUGUAGUUUAAAGAAGUGUUUUCUGUUGAGGUUUUGGUAAAAGUUCUUUGGAAUAGGACAUCAUAGAGGGUGAGAAUCCCGUAUUUGACCUUUACUUUCAACUUUGUGAUACACUUUCAAAGAGUCGGAUUGUUUGGGAAUGCAGUCCAAAAUGGGCUGGUAAAUUUCAUCUAAAGCUAAAUAUUGGCGAGAGACCGAUAGCGAACAAGUACCGUGAGGGAAAGAUGAAAAGAACUUUGAAAAGAGAGUUAAACAGUACGUGAAAUCGUCAAAAGGGAAGCGUUUGACACCAGUGUUGUUUUUCUGAAAAUCAAUUAAAGAACUGUUUAUGCUAAGUUGUUUAGACUUUAUCAGCUAACUGUUUAGUUUUGAGCUUUUCUUUAAUGCACUUUUCAGUUAACAAGUCAACAUCAAUUUCUUUUGCUGUAAAAAAGCUUGAGGAAGGUGGCUUGAGAUUCGUCUUAAGUGUUUAUAGCCUCUUGCCUAUGCAGUCGGAGAGAUUGAGGUCUGCAGCGUAGAUCCUUCGGGGCUAAAUGCAUUUGUGCUAAGUUAUAGCAUUUUAUAGACAACUUGUUGACUAUGAUUUGUCUUGUAGCUUACUCGCUUAUGUUAUUUUACCUACGCUUAGGAUGUUGAUCUACAGAGCGAGAGU